AUUGAACGCUGGCGGCAUGCCUAACACAUGCAAGUCGAGCGGAUGAAGGGAGCUUGCUCCUGGAUUCAGCUGCGGACGGGUGAGUAAUGCCUAGGAAUCUGCCUUGUAGUUGGGGAUAACGUCCGGAAACGGGCGCUAAUACCGCAUACGUCCUGAGUGAGAAAGUGGGGGAUCUUCGGACCUCACGCUAUCUGAUGAGCCUAGGUCGGAUUAGCUAGUUGGUGGGGUAAAGGCCUACCAAGGCGACGAUCCGUAACUGGGCUGAGAGGAUGAUCAGUCACACUGGAACUGAGACACGGUCCAGACUCCUACGGGAGGCAGCAGUGGGGAAUAUUGGACAAUGGGCGAAAGCCUGAUCCAGCCAUGCCGCGUGUGUGAAGAAGGUCUUCGGAUUGUAAAGCACUUUAAGUUGGGAGGAAGAGAAGUAAGUUAAUACCUUGCUGUUUUGACGUUACCAAAAGAAUAAGCAACGGCUAACUUCGUG
rnacentral:rRNA from 1 species